GGUGGCCUAGUGGUUAGAGCAUCCGCCUCAAAUGUGGGAGGUCAUAGGUUUUCAACCCGACCGAGUCAUACCAAAGACU